rnacentral:ncRNA from 1 species
AAGCGGACGAGGAUCAAGAGGAGUAACUGACUGAAUUGUUUUUAGAGAGAAAAUUCCUGGCUGAAAAAUUUUCAACAAUAAGUGGUGAAGGUAGCUUGAUAGUCUUUGGUUUGAAAAAAGUAGAGCCAAACGAGUCGUGAUCGUUAAUUCACUUAGAAGCGGCAGUACGUAAAGACUGCAAAUUAGGUGGUACCGCGUAAAUAGCGCCCUAAGA